rnacentral:lncRNA from 1 species
GGCUUUAGGAAUUGGAAAGCUGGCAAACUAAUGGUGGCAGAUACAAGUUUUCCAAAAUUCUAGGUCUUGUUUGAGAGUUCAAAAAUUAUACUGUUGGCAAGAAAUACUUUCAGGUUAUUGUCCCAGAGGCUUUUAUGAUCAUUGACAUAGCAUAUAUCUCUAGGCAUUAGCUUCUAGUUGCAGUUAUGCUUUGAUCUUCUAAAACUUUGUUCAUUUAUGCAAGCAUAUUUAUCAAAAGUACUCAGAUACUUCAAGGGGGAAAAUUACUUCACCUUAUACAAUGAAUAUCAUUAAUAAAAAAUUAAAUAUUUUGCUAUGAUACCAACAACUUUACUUAUUAUUUCUUUUGAGUCCUUAGUGCAAAUGUCAAUAAAAUAAUAAAAGUUAGCUAUGCAAUGUCUUAGUGUUAUUAUACAAAGAGUUUUGACCAUACAGCCCUGUGAAAAGGACUUAGGCAUGAUGAGGUUUCCACAAAACACAAUUUUAGAAUUAUGUUGAAUGACCUCUCCCAUCUAUGGCCUACCUCUUACAAAUUAUGCCACAUAAAAUUCUCCAAACUUCAAUUCCCUCCUGUAAAAUGGAAAUGAUAAUAAAUAUCUCUGAUCUGAUAAAAUUAUUUGAAAAUUUGGGAUUAUCAUAUGUUAAACUCCUGGCAAGGUUGCCGGCACACAGUGAGUACUUGAAAAGUGGUAGCUGUCAUGACCAUUGCCCAAACACAUAGCAUGUUAUUGACAAAGCUAGAACCCAAAAUUCUACUUUCUGAUUCCUUCUCAGAGACUUCCCCAUGACAUCAUGUCACAAGAGCAGAACUAAUUCCCCUGUGGCUGUUUUUACAGCAAAGGGCAAAGUGGCCAAUUCAUUUGAUUCCAGUGAUCUUUCCAGGUAAUGUCCUAGAUGAUGAACAGAAGGUGUUAAGUAGAGUCAUUAAGACUAUGUGUGACCCGUAUUUGCAUCCAUCGUGAAUCAGCUCUGUACUGAGUGACAUCUACAAGUUCUCAUUCUCUGAGCCUCAGGUCUCUCUUCUGUAAAUCUGGAUAAUUAUAGCACCUCACUUAUCAGCUUGCUAUGAGAAUUUAAUGAGAUAAGGUGCAGCGAUUGUAAAGCACCAGCCCAAUGCAAAUGCUCAACAAUGGCUAGCUGCUUGCUAUUAUAACAAUAACAACUAUUCUUAUUAUCUCAUAGCUCAGAUCAACAUCACUUCCUCAGGAAGCAUUUUCUGACCCCCUCAAUAAAAACACCCCAUAUUAAGAUCUUCUCAACCUACUUCAUUGGACUUAAUAUAGUUGCAAUAUAAUAUUUCAAGAUGUGAUUAUCUGAUUGUCAUAUACACUAGACUUUCAACAAAGAGAGGGAUGGGGUCUGUUAGGCUCACCAUUUUUUUCCCCAACACCUGGCCCAGAGCCCAGAACAGAGCAGUUUGCAAUAAAUACCUAUUGAAGGAAUGAGUGAAAGAAUUCUUGUACUAGCCUGGCAACUCAGUUUUACUCCACUCUCUUUUUUAGAUAUAAUGAUGGAACUUCCCCUGGCACUUGUUACUCAAAGCAGGAUCUGUGGGCUGGGAAACCAGCCUAAUCUGGAAGCUAAUUGGCAAUGCAGACUCUCAGACCUCACCCCAGACCUCAAUAUGCACUUGAACAAAAUCCCCAGGUAAUUCAUCUGUACAUCAAAGUUUUAGAAGUGGGUGUGUGUGGGUGUGUGUGUGUGUGUGUGUGUGUGUGUGUGAGAGAGAGAGAGAGAGAGAGAGAGAAGGAGGAGGAGGAGGAAGUUAGGGGAAGAGGAGGGGGAGGAGGUGGAUGGAGGGGGCGGAAAUGAAAGGACAGUCACUAAAUUUCCUGGAUAAAGCCACACCCCCUUCCACAAUUCCAGGUCUCAUUACAUUCCCAAUACAAACAUUACAAAUAUUACCAUUUCUGAAAACCAGCUGCAUUUAAAUUUUUUUCAGCCCCAGCCAAGCUGCUCUUAUUUCCUAUUCAUAUAUGAUUUUUUUCCAGAAGACUAUUUUGGCCUCAGUUGAAUAAUGUAUUUCAGAGACUUUACGUCCUGAAACAUUCUCUGAAGGAGACAGAAACACCAUCUGUGCCCACUCCUGGAAAAACAGCCCCAAACCAAAUGAAGUAAGGGUGUCAUUUUCUUUUACAGAGUUGCAAAAUUUGAAUGCCUGCUUGUCCACCACAACCUCAGAAAGAGGAGAGAAAAGCAUACAUUAAAAUCCUCUCUCCUGCAAUAACACCAAACCAGUCCCACUCCAAAAACCCAAAGAAAUUAUGAAAAUAUGCAUAGUACCCUGCUGACCCUGGAAAAAUUACAGCCUAGCUUUUUUUUAAUGAAAAGGGGUAUUAUUUUUAGAAUUUAUUCCCAUUUUUGAGUUGCAAAGCCCACCAAUCACUGGAUAAUAAAAUGCAAGAACUCAGAGAUUCAGUGAAUGGUUCAUUUGCCUAUGUUCAAUCUUUUUCACUUUGUGGGACCCCAUUUCAAAAUUCCCUUUGCUAGGCUGUCCUAGACUCCCAAAGGAAGAAAUGGGUCCGGCCAGAAGCAACACCCAUUUCACUCAGUUGGGUCCUUUCUCGCUUCAGAGCAAUAAUCUUGGCCAAGCCUGAGUCUGAGAAUUGAUGCUUAUCCAAAGGCAUUUGAAUUUGCUGCUGAUUGUUCUCCCAUUGCUUCCUUUUUUAAAUUUUUUUGUUAAAGUAUAGUUGAUUUGCAGUGCUGUGCCAGUUUCUGCCAUACAGCAUACUGACCAGUCAUACAAAUGUAUACAUUCUUUUUCUCAUACUGUCGUCCAUCAUGGUCUAUCCCAAAAGACUGAAUAUAGUUCCCUGUGCUGUACAGUAGGACCUCAUUGCUUAUCCAUUUUAAAUGGAAUAAUUUGCAUCUACUAACUCCAAAUCUACCAAUCCCACUGCUUCUUACUUUCCUGGGACUUUCCUCUCUCUGUCUGUCUUCCUUCUGCUGCCUACAAAUAUAAGAAAUGCUGCACUAAUAAAGAAACUGUGAAAGUCUAGACAACCCCUCUGGUAUGUCUGUGCCUGGGUCAUGGAGUCCCCUAGGGUCACAGGCAUGGACACAUGCUUAGAAAGUCUGACUAGAGUUAGAGUACAAGAUAGAGAUCUAUCCAUUCUGAAGUCUUGUUGGUCCAGUCUCACCAGCCAAGACGAUAUGCCCAAACGGGGCCUUUUCCCCCAUUCGUAGACACACAAAACUUAGUGUCACUGAUGACUUGGAAGAGGGCAGUUGCCAGCCCAGCUCAGUGCAAUAUAAAGAACCUGGGCUCAGAAUUUGAAUCUUGGCUCUCACACCUGCUACCUAUACCUCCUUGGGAAAAGUGUAUUUUACUAUUUGAGCCUCAUUUUCCUUAUUCAAUUGUUUUUGGUAUAUAAUAGUCCUUUGUGGGGUAUUGUGGGGAUUAAAGGAGAUUUUGUUCCAUAAUGCCUAGUUGCCCUCUGCCUUCCUCACGUCCCUGCAGCAUGGACCAUGGUAGAUUUCCCUGACCCUGAACAUGCUCAUAGGAAGAGAGAAGAAGGAGCAAGUGAAUAAGAGGAAAGGAAUGAGCUCAUGCUUAGCAGCAAGGUGACUUUAAAAAAUGGUUGUCAAAACAGCUUCAGUUCUUGAAGAUGCAGUUAAAAGGAAUUCUCUCUCCAUAUAAAGUCUACCCCAGGCUUGAUUAUUGUUUCAUUUCCCCCAAUAGCUAUUUUAGCAUUAUUUACCUUUUUAAGGGCCUUGGCGCCUCUCCCACACAUUGACUAUUGAAAUAAACUCUACCUGCCAUCUAGACCCUUCAUUUUUGGUCCUAAGCAGCACUGAGGAGGAGGAUUAGCAUGGCAUUUGGACUCCGUCCCAAGAACCCACCUCCUUGCCAUCAUACUUGGGCUGCUUUAUCAGAGAAGCAGUGUCGGAGAGAAACGCUUGAAGAUUGAUGUGGAGUCUGGAAAAGAAGUUUUAAUCCAUGGGACUCUUGUUACCAAGCAAAGACAACCUGUAAAUUGUUGCAGAGAGAAAAGCAGUCUCAAGAUGUCUGUUGGCCGUUUGAGCAGCUGAGUCUAGGCUGAUGUGAUGGCUAACCUCCCAGGGUCCUCUGGAGCUUUGUUGCUAGGGGAAGUUGAUUUACCCAGAGUGAAGACAUGAGGAGAAAGCUGUGAAACCAACUUGAAAGUUAAGGUCAAUUCAGCAGCUACAGGUGCCAUAGAAAUGCUAUUCCUGAUGCUGGCAGAUUUAGGCAUCAUUUUGUUGGAGACGGUCCUACCCACAUCGAAUGUUAUAUUACUUAAAACAUGUCUUUAGACCCUUCAGUUGUUUUAGUAUUCUCACAUCACCAAGAGUCAUCCAACUUUAAUUUUGUGAAAAAUGGCAAGACUUAUUUUUUUUCACCUUUUAAUUUUUUGGACAUAGCUGUGAUAUAUGGAAAUUCCUAGGCCAAGGGUUGAAUCCAAGCCAGAGCUUCUACCUAUACCACCGCUGAGGCAACGCCAAAUCCGUAAGCCACUACACCCAGCCGGAGAUUGAACCUGGGCCUCCACAGAUGAAAGCUGGAUCAUUAACCCACUGUGCCACAGCGAGAACUCCACAGCAAGACUUAUUAUCAUUCCCUAUUUAUCCUGAGACACCCUUUACUUUCUCCAUAUGCUUUCCAACACUGGAAGUAAAGGGCUGAGAAUUCCGUUGCCCACACCAUACCUCAUGGCAAUUAAAUCUACAUCUUUAAGAGGUAGACACAAGCAUCGCAAGUUUGUUUUAAAAGCUUUGCAGGUGAUUCUAACCUGAAAUCAAAUUUGAGAACCAAUCACAGUGUGUACAUGUGGUAGGAGUAGAGGCGAGGAGGGUGGUAGAAUUUGAGUAAACAUCAUACAACCUUGAAAUAACCAGCAAGAUUCAAAGUACUGAUUGAUUCUUGCACUGGGCAACUUAGGGGGACAGUGC